rnacentral:snRNA from 1 species
UCACUCUGGCUUCUCUUCAACGUAUUAUUCUUUCGCCUUUUACUAAAGAAUUCCGUGGAGAGGAGCAGUUCAAUGCGUCUUGAACAUUUUUCGAUAUCCGACUUCGGUCCGUUU